AAAGCUUAAGUUAUUUGUAUGGUAAAGAUAUGCCAGCUAUUGUUAAGUAAUGGAUUGUUUAUUUAAAAUUACCUUUGCUUAAAAUGCGCCAAAAAGUAUGCUACAAUUACUAUUUCUGUGAAUUUCGUCAAGUUGAAUGGAUUUUGAAGCCAAGCCGACACUAACAAGCUACAGUUGGCCAACUGCUUGGACAUUGAUAGCCUUAACAUUGUCUUAUUAAAAUCGUCUAGUAAGACGGAUUAAUUUUUAAUGAGUGUGCUGGACAAACAUUAAUGAAACAGGCACAACAAACCACCCAUCGAAUGUAUGGCAAGAGGGAGGUGGAAAAUCUUCCACGUGCGUGGCAAAUAAAUCAUCAUUGCCAAAACCAAUGAAUGUUCAUACAAUUGCAAUUUUCUGGGGUCGCAACAAUGCUUAAAUCCUGACAAAUGAGAGAAAUGAGAAUGAGAAGUCACAUAAGAUAUAAUACACGUUAAUAUCCCAUUCCAGUUUCAGUUUCAGUUCCAGUUUCAGCGUAGGAUAAAUGCAUUAAGUCCUUAAGUAACUAUGUGAACUAUAUGUACAAUGCGAUCCUUGCAUUGGCGUUAAAUUUGCUGCUUCAUUUAUAAGGAUUACGGGGCUGUUGGCCACAGCGAAACA